AGAUGCUUCAUUUGUUCAAAAGUCAGCAGCAAGCAUGCUUAGUGGGAAGAGGCCUGUUCAAGCAGCUCCUACCAACAAAAAAGGGGCUUAUGCUAAAGGGGGUGUGAGUAAGAAGAGUGAUGCACCUGCACAGACAAAAUCCUCUAAAUCUGCUGAAACACCCGAAGAUGUUGAGCCAUCUGAAAUGGGUCUUGAAGAGAUUGAAA